AUUGAACGCUGGCGGCAUGCUUUACACAUGCAAGUCGAACGGUAACAGGGAGCUUGCUCCGCUGACGAGUGGCGAACGGGUGAGUAAUGCGUCGGAACGUGCCGAGUAGUGGGGGAUAACGCAUCGAAAGGUGUGCUAAUACCGCAUACGUACUGAGGUAGAAAGUGGGGGACCUUCGGGCCUCACGCUAUUCGAGCGGCCGACGUCUGAUUAGCUAGUUGGUGAGGUAAAGGCUCACCAAGGCGACGAUCAGUAGCGGGUCUGAGAGGAUGAUACGCCACACUGGGACGGAGACACGGCCCAGACUCCUACAGGAGGCAGCAGUGGGGAAUUUUGGACAAUGGGCGCAAGCCUGAUCCAGCCAUGCCGCGUGUCUGAUGAAGGCCUUCGGGUUGUAAACUGCUUUUGUACGGAACGAAAAGCCCUGGGUUAAUACCCUGGGGUCAUGACGGUACCGUAAGAAUAAGCACCGGCUAACUACGUGCCAGCCGCCGCAGUAACAC
rnacentral:rRNA from 1 species